CUGUAAUAAAGGGACAUUUAGUCCACUAAUUUCCUCACAGCCUCACUCACAAAUUUUUCUCAGGCUCACAAGGAAAUGUAUAACAGGCCUGUGUGACUGCGAUGGUGGGAGAUGUGAGGAGGUGCUGGAAAGAAGCUCCCCUCAUCAGAGAUCUGCAGCCUGCCCCCGUAGGUCCCCAUACCUAUUUAUGAGGAGCAGAGCACGGCAGUGGCUGUGAGGAAGAGCCCUGUCCCACCACCUAAGCCCAAAUCCUGCUGCUGCCAUGAAUCUUGUCAGUACCAGCAGUGGAGGCCUGCAGGGGAACAGCAGCAUGAGGUGGUUCUCAGAGGGGUGUCUACUAUCACAUUUGACCCUGAAGCCACCUGCCAAACUUCCAGCUGACCCUUGUGAUACCCAAAAUCUCCAGUCCUGCAGUUUUCAGCAGUAAAGCUUACUCACCACCAACAGGUGACCAGAAGUACUUCUAUCGUGGCAGAAGUGCAUAGCUCACAUUAAAGCCUUUUCUGCAGCUCCAGUUGCUUUUGUUACUGCUGCUCUGUUUUUAGUGGAAUACUGAAACACCAGUGGAGCCAGGCACAGGAAGAGUAACUAUGGCUCUCUUGCAAUUACAUCACUCCAACAAAGGUUUAUAUUAAACUAGAGAAAUUUAAAUUGAAAAAACAAGAAAGUGAGUGGUACUGUUGCACAGCCUUUUAACAGUUCUGAGGCAGAGAAAAUCAAAGCCUUCUCCAUCUCUCAAAUGGUGUUUGGCUGAAUAUAGGAGAUGGUUUUAAAACCAUGCCAAUCUGUCAAGCUUUCAGUGCAGAAUACACCCUUACUAGAUCAAUACAUCGGAGUUAUGCAGACAACAAGGAAAAAAUUGUAAUUGGUUAAAUGAAUGCCCUUCACUGUCAUAACAGAGGGAAAUGAGAGCUGAAAGGAGUCUUGUUAUGGUGCACCCCCUUGAGCCAAGGUGCGCUGAAUGUGCUGGACUGCUGGGUCACUGGGGUGUCACAAAGUUGUGGAUUACCAAGUACCUCUCUUAUGUCUUUCUUGUUGUCAAGAAAUCUGUACCUUCAUAGAAUUACCAAUAAAACACUCAUAGCAGCAGAUUAGGUUUAAAAA
rnacentral:lncRNA from 1 species